GUCUACAGCCACACCACCCUGAACGUACCCGAUCUCGUCUGAUCUCGGAAGCUAAACAGGGUCGGGCCUGGUUAGUACUUGGAUGGGAGAAGUAGAGCAGCUUUGACU
rnacentral:rRNA from 1 species